AUGUACAGCUUCCUCUUAAUUUGCAUAUAUUCACAACAAUUCAUAAUGAAAGAGAUGUUUCUUCAACCGAGUGAAUCCUUCGUUAUCAACAUGUUUCUUCAACCGAGUGAAUUCUAUGUCGCAACAAACUCUGCCAGUCCUUUCUAUCUGCAUCCAAAUGAAAUUCCAACAUUGAUUCUUGUUGCUCCUCUCUUAGACAACAAAAAUUAUCACCUUUUCGCUCGAUCGAUGCAAAUCACAUUGAUUUCGAAAAGAAAAGACAAAUUCAUUGAUGAUACUUUCUUAAAACCCUCAGUUUUAGAUCCUUUGUACACAUAG